GUGUAUGUAAUUUAAAAAAAAUA
rnacentral:tRNA from 1 species